rnacentral:rRNA from 1 species
AUUGAACGCUGGCGGCAGGCCUAACACAUGCAAGUCGAACGAGUGGCGGACGGGUGAGUAAUGUCUGGGAAACUGCCCGAUGGAGGGGGAUACCUACUGGAAACGGUAGCUAAUACCGCAUACCAUCGGAUUUGCCCAGAUGGGAUUGGCUAGUAGGUGGGGUAACGGCUCACCUAGGCGACGAUCCCUAGCUGGUCUGAGAGGAUGACCAGCCACACGGGAAUUGGGACACGGUCCAGACUCCUACGGGAGGCAGCAGUGGGGAAUAUUGCACAAUGGGCGCAGUCCGGAUGCAGCCAUGCCGCGUGUAUGAAGAAGGCCUUCGGGUUGUAAAGUACUUUCAGCGAGGAGGCGUUAAUCGCAGAAGAAGCACCGGCUAACUCCGUGCCAGCAGCCGCGGUAAUAC